AAGUUACCGCUGGAGUGACCUUACGUAAUGCGAGGAGUUACUCUGUUUGGAGUAGUCAUGGCUGAAUUUUUACCCGAUUUUGACCAGCUGGAUCUGGAUGAGCCAUUUGAAUUUGAUGACCGCCUGUAUUUAUGUGAACAUGGAGUACACGGACAUAGACGGAUGCAGAGCUCAUUGAAAUUGAAGAGCAGACAAGGAGAGGGAGGGAGCAGCAACAGGCAGAGGAACAUGUCCGAAUCCAGCUAAAGGAGUCUGCAUGUGAAUCUGAUGUUCUGCUGUCAAGGUCCUGCACUUGUCCACUAGCCAUCCUCAACAACCACCUGUCUUCUGAAGAGGACUUCAGUGAUGGAGGAGUCUGCGUGCGCCUCUCUCCGCUGAUGUGAUGAGAUCCAGUAGUGACUGGGGAGAAGCCUGCAGCUCAGAGCGAAUGUUUCCUGGAGAAUGGCAGAUCAGCCGGAGGGAUGAACCCUGGAGAGGGAUCAGACCGAGACGACUAGACACAGCACAGUCAAGUCAGCGGGGAAAAAUCUCUCUGAGUUUGAUUGAGCUUUCAGACAUGAUGAGAUGUAGUUGGUGGACAAGAGAGAGAGAGAAAUAAACACUCUUCAAUCACACUGAA